rnacentral:rRNA from 1 species
GACGAACGCUGGCGGCGUGCUUAACACAUGCAAGUCGAACGGAAAGGCCCCCUUGUGGGGUACUCGAGUGGCGAACGGGUGAGUAACACGUGAGUAACCUACCCUUGACUUUGGGAUAACUUCAGGAAACUGGGGCUAAUACCGGAUAGGAGCUCCUGCUGCAUGGUGGGGGUUGGAAAGUGUCGGCGGGUGGGGAUGGACUCGCGGCUGAUCAGCUUGUUGGUGGGGUAGUGGCUCACCAAGGCUUUGACGGGUAGCCGGCCUGAGAGGGUGACCGGCAACAUUGGGACUGAGAUACGGCCCAGACUCCUACGGGAGGCAGCAGUGGGGAAUAUUGCACAAUGGGCGGAAGCCUGAUGCAGCAACGCCGCGUGCGGGAUGACGGCCUUCGGGUUGUAAACCGCUUUCGCCUGUGACGAAGCGUGAGUGACGGUAAUGGGUAAAGAAGCACCGGCUAACUACGUG